rnacentral:rRNA from 1 species
UACGGAGGAUGCAAGCGUUAUCCGGGAUGAUUGGGCGUAAAGCGUCCGCAGGUGGCUGUGUAAGUCUGCUGUCAAAGCGUCUGGCUUAACCAGAUAAAGGCAGUGGAAACUACACGGCUAGAGUGCGUUCGGGGCAGAGGGAAUUCCUGGUGUAGCGGUGAAAUGCGUAGAGAUCAGGAAGAACACCCAUGGCGAAAGCAGCUCUCUGGGACGGUACUGACGCUGAGACGCGAAAGCGUGGGGAGCGAACAGG